GGGACUCGAGGGACUUUGCCCACCCCUGCAACAGCCCUCCCGCGCUGUCUCCCGGGCAGGGAGAAGGCUGGGCUCCCCCACCUGCCCCUGGCCGUCAGGUGGCUGUGGAGAAGCGGAGGCGCGGGCGCUCGGCCUUAACGUCCCGGGCUCUGGGGCCAUCCGUGACUCCCACACGCGGAGCACCUGCAGUUUGGGGAGGGAGGGAUCUGGGAGCGAUCGGCCAAAGCCUGGGGCUGCCGAGGAAAUGGCUCUUCGGAAUUAGGGAUCUGAGAGUGUGAGAUUUGACCUUUGUAGGCUGGUGGCGGCUGUGCAAUCUCUAGCUCCACCCACUCCCUCCAAAAGCUUUGUCCUCUGACAGCUCUGCGAAGGUUUUAGCUGAGUAUUUGUGAGCACGUAUUUCUUUUGCAGUAUUUUUAAAAAUCCUCUUGAUCUGAGGCAACUUCGCUGGCUUCCUCCCCAUUCCCUUGGGCAGGUUGAGAGUGUUGGUUCCUGGCCUGACCUCAGAAACUCAGAGAAGCACAGGAUGGGCAUAAACUACUUUAUCCAAAAGGCAGAACUUUGCAAACACAGUCGUAUCUGCUGUGUCUUUUUUGAUGUAAGUAGGAAUGAUGAGUAGGGUGAAGUCACAGGUAAACAACCCAAAACGAAUUUCCAUGCCCUCCCCACGGAUCCUAAAGCAGGGACUGGAGAUGGGGAGAGAGGCUAGAUGUACUUGGAACAAAAUUCACCUUGUAUUUAUUACCUGGGCGCUGGUGUUUUUUGAAAAAAGCAAACAAGAUAACCAUAUUAGUCUGAUGCUGAGACUAUGCCCUAUCUGUAAGAAUCCUUGGGCUGGGCGCGGUGGCUCACCCUUGUAAUCCCAACACUUGGAGGCCAAGGUGGGCGGAUCACCUGAGGUCAGGAGUUCGAGACCAGCAUGGCCAACAUGGUGAAACCCCGUCUCUACUAAACAUACAAAAAUUAGCUGGGUGUGGUGGUGGGCGCCUGUAAUCCCAGCUACUCAGGAGGCUGAGGCACGAGAAUCCCUUGAACCUAGGAGGCGGAGGUUGCAGCGAGCUGAGAUGUCGCCACUGCACUCCAGCCUGGGCGACAGAGCGAGACUCCGUCUCAAAAGAAAAGAAAAGAAAAGAAAAAAAGGCAGGGCACAGUGGCUCACGCCUGUAAUCCUAGCACUUUGGGAGGCCGAGGCAGGCAGAUCGCUUGAGGUCAGGAAUUCCAGACCAGCCUGGCCAACAUGGUGAAAACCUGUCUCUACUAAAAAUACAAAAAUUAGCUGGGUAUGGUGGCGCACGCCUGUAAUCCGAGCUACUAGGGAGGCUGAGACAGGAGAAUCGCUUGUACCUGGGAGGUGGAGGUUGCAAUGAGCUGAGAUCGUGCCAUUGCACUCCAGCAGCCUGGACAACAGAGCAAUACUUGGUCUAAAAAAAAAAAAAAGAAAGAAAUGCAACGUAGGUCUCUCACGAAAUUAGCCCAAAUCUUCAGCCAUCUUCUACAGGCUGUGAAACCAGGAGAGGAAUUGAGUCCAUCUUACCUUGACCUCCCAGGCAGGGAGCGGACCAGGUAAUUUUUGGGUGACAAUACAACUAUUCUGUUAAUGCACCUUUUUCUUGAGGUAAGUUCUAAUGUGAUCCGUUUUGGUUACAGCUUUCUAUAACAGAAUAUUUUAUUCUUUCAUCUUUAAUGUUUCUCUAGUUUUCUCUUUUAGGAUUUAGAGAUCAUUCAGUCUCAUCUCAAAUAUUUCAAUUUCCAUGUGGUUCUUUCAUAAACAUUUAUCCACAGUGAGCCUGCCCUGCAUUCUUUGGGUGUGGCUGACAGUUGCAGCCACCCUCAGGUCUGCGGGGGUGGGUGUGUUGCCCCUGAACUGCAAUAGCAGAAUUUCUCCCUAGCCUGGCAGGGGAGUGCAAUCGUGGACUUGCUUUUCCACCCGCUGGGGUUGCAUUUCAUAGGUGCCGAGUGCCUGGGGGGCCCAGGCCUUUUCACAUGAGGGUUUUCAGCCCAGAUGUCCCUCCUGCUCUAGGGGAACCCUUCACAUCAGUCAGGUGACUUGCUGGACUGGUAGAGCCUCUGCCAUCAGCCUCUGAUGCAAAACCUUUUCUCAGGUGUCUGUGCGGUCCAUGGAGACCCGAGUUCCCAGGUUUGGGAGGGAUGCCACUUUCCUUAGGAAGAACAGCAAUGUAUGUCGUCCUUCCCAUCCAUGCAGAUGGGACAGGGCUCUCAGGAAAUCUGCCAUUAGCAUCGCCCUAGAAGAUGCACAGGCAGAGGCAGCUGCUGGGCACAGGCACUUGGGGAAGACAGGAGCCAUGACGCCACGCCACCUGUUGGUACCCAAAGGAAGUGGCUCUUUUGGCUGCUUGGCACCAUUCUUAUGACCCUUCCAUUUUGUUUCUAGUCUCAGAAGGGGUGGAGAAAGUCAUCCUUCCUAAAUGGUGUUGACUCUCAGACAUCUGACCGUGCCAGGAGAAUGGCUGUGCAAGGCGGCAGCCCAGGCCCGGGCAGGUGGCGGCCAGGAGUUGGGACCACAGAGGGCACUAGCAAGAGCAGCAGCUGCUCCGAGAUGCUUUGGCACAAGUCAGGAUACGUAUUUUGUAGUUUUCUCUUGUUUUUUAUUUUUCUGAGGUGGAGUCUCACUCUGUCGCCCAGGCUGGAGUGCAGUGGUGCAAUCUCAGCUCACUGCAAGCUCCGCCUCCCGGGUUCAAGCGAUUAUCGUGUCUCGGCCUCCAGAGUAGCUGGGAUCACAGGUGCACGCCACCACACCCAGCUGAUUUUUGUAUUUUUAGUAGAGAUGGGGUUUCGCCAUGUUUGGUCUUGAACUCUUGGCCUCAGGUGAUCUGCCCCCCUCAGCCUCCCAGAGUGCAAGGAUUACAGGCGUGAGCCACCGCACCCCACCUCCCGGCCUUUUCUCUUGUUUCAUUUUGGUAAACUAAAUUAGUUUAAUACCUCUACCCCAUCGGUGGUUGGAAUUCCCCACCUCAAUCAUUUUGGGGGCUCUCUGCCUCCUUUGAAUAGGACAGAUCUCCAGGGGUUUACCCAGGCUCCGAAGAGCCACUCCAGGCAGCCGGCUGUUUGGGGAGGUGCACCCUGGUCUUCUAGUCUGCGGAUUCCCUGCAUCGCUCCCCUGGUACUGCUCUCAAGCUCAAGGGUCACCUCAGCCAGAUGUGCCCUAGGCUGGCAGAGGUCCUUCCCCUAAAUGCAGCUGGGCAGGAUGCCACCCUUUCUACAAUAAGUUCGGUCCCAGGGAUUCCCCCAACACACACACACAUACAUUCUCUCUUACUCACAUCCUCACACACACUCACACACCCCACCACACUCACACACUUUCAAAAUCCACCGACUCUCACGCUCACACUCGCCAGCCCUUUCCCUUGCUCUGUCACUUCCCUCCAAGUCCCCGCCCCACACAGCCUCCUGCAGUCCCAGCCCCCUUGGUGCCAGCCAUCUCUGGUGCCAGCCAUCUCCCCCAAAUAUCCACCCUUCUGGGCUCCUUUCUGCCCAGAGGGACCUGAAGUUUCCCUAGGAAGCACUUGCUAAAGGCCUCCAGUCUCCAACUCCUGGGGAAGAAGGAUCCAGGCCUCUGCCGCACAAAGCCUCCACUGUUCUCUUGGGGCUGGCACCCCUUCCUGUGGCCCUGUGGCACCAAACAAAUUGAUUCAUCCAGCGAAUAUUUCUUAUUUACUCUGUUCCACAUGGUGGUGAGUGAAUCAACCCUGGACUCUCCCCACAAAGGACUUAAGAACACGCAGGUCAUGAACAAAUGAACACUUUUGCAUAAUUUUUAUGACCAACGGUGACCAGGCCAAGAGCAGGAUGAGGUGAUGGAGAAUACCUUGGCCUGGGGCAUCGGAGGAAACUCUUGCGAGGAUGUGCUACCUCCGUUGAAAGUGGGAAGAUGAGAGACCGGCUGUAAGAGGAGCAAGGGAAGGAGGUUCUGGAAUGAGAGAACAGCACGAACAAAAUGCCCGAGACAGGAGCGAGCUUGGCACCUUCAAGAAAAUAAAGAGGAGAAUCACUGAACCUGGCACGUGGAGGUUGCAAUGAGCUGAGAUCGCGCCACUGCACUCCAGCCUGCGAGACAGAGCGAGACUCCAUCUCAAAAAAAAAAAAAAAAAAAAAAAGGAAAGAAAAGGAGGCCAUUGGGAUGGCUGAGGCUGGAAGGGUGGACCAGGUGCCCCACAGGCAAGAGGUCCCAACUAUAGAUGAAGCACGCAGGCUACAGACAGGUGAGUGGUGCCUCGGGUGAGAGGCAAGUUUGUCUCCAUAGGUCAUCCUGCUACACGGAAUUCUCCAGAAUCCCCUGCAAAGGUGUAGAUGGGCUGGGUGCAGUAGCUCAUGCCUCUAAUCCCAGCACUUUGGGAGGUCGAGUCGGGCGGAUCACCUUGAGGU
rnacentral:lncRNA from 1 species